GAUGAACGCUGGCGGCGUGCCUAAUACAUGCAAGUCGAGCGAACAGACGAGGAACUUGCUCCUCUUACGUUAGCGGCGGACGGGUGAGUAACACGUGGGUAACCUACCUAUAAGACUGGGAUAACUUCGGGAAACCGGAGCUAAUACCGGAUAAUAUAUUGAACCGCAUGGUUCAAUAGUGAAAGACGGUUUUGCUGUCACUUAUAGUUGGAUCCGCGCCGCAUUAGCUAGUUGGUAAGGUAACGGCUUACCAAGGCAACGAUGCGUAGCCGACCUGAGAGGGUGAUCGGCCACACUGGAACUGAGACACGGUCCAGACUCCUACGGGAGGCAGCAGUAGGGAAUCUUCCGCAAUGGGCGAAAGCCUGACGGAGCAACGCCGCGUGAGUGAUGAAGGUCUUCGGAUCGUAAAACUCUGUUAUUAGGGAAGAACAAAUGUGUAAGUAACUAUGCACGUCUUGACGGUACCUAAUCAGAAAGCCACGGCUAACUACGUG
rnacentral:rRNA from 1 species